GGCCAGACUCCUACGGGAGGCAGCAGUGGGGAAUAUUGCACAAUGGGGGAAACCCUGAUGCAGCGACGCCGCGUGAGUGAAGAAGUAUCUCGGUACGUAAAGCUCUAUCAGCAGGGAAGAAAAUGACGGUACCUGACUAAGAAGCCCCGGCUAACUCCGUGCCAGCAGCCGCGGUAAUACGGAGGAUGCGAGCGUUAUCCGGAUUUAUUGGGUUUAAAGGGUGCGCAGGCGGAAUGUCAAGUCAGCGGUAAAAUUUCGGGGCUCAACCCCGUCGUGCCGUUGAAACUGGCGUUCUUGAGUGAGCGAGAAGUAUGCGGAAUGCGUGGUGUAGCGGUGAAAUGCAUAGAUAUCGCGCAGAACCCCGAUUGCGAAGGCAGCAUGCCGGCUCCACACUGACGCUGAGGCACGAAAGCGUGGGUAUCGAACAGGAUUAGAUACCCGCGUAGCG
rnacentral:rRNA from 1 species